AACGAACGCUGGCGGCAGGCUUAACACAUGCAAGUCGAACGAUGUAGCAAUACAUAGUGGCGCACGGGUGAGUAACGCGUGGGAACGUGCCCUUCAGUCUGGGAUAACGUCGGGAAACUGACGCUAAUACUGGAUAUUCCCUCCGGGGGAAGUUUUUCGCUGAAGGAUUGGCCCGCGUAAGAUUAGGUAGUUGGUGGGGUAAUGGCCUACCAAGCCUACGAUCUUUAGCUGGUCUGAGAGGAUGAUCAGCCACACUGGAACUGAGACACGGUCCAGACUCCUACGGGAGGCAGCAGUGGGGAAUAUUGGACAAUGGGCGAAAGCCUGAUCCAGCCAUGCCGCGUGAGUGAUGAAGGCCUUAGGGUUGUAAAGCUCUUUUGUCAGGGAAGAUGAUGACGGUACCUGAAGAAUAAGCACCGGCUAACUUCGCGCCAGCCGCCGCCGUAA
rnacentral:rRNA from 1 species